rnacentral:ncRNA from 2 species
CCAUACUUGCCAUGCAGUGGUUCCCCGGAUUCAGCCUGGGGAGGCAACGAGGAAAGUCCGGUGCGGGUCAAUCUCCCCAGGGGGAUGACCACUCCAGUCCGGCACUGUCCCGCAGCUGUGAUGGACCCGGUCAAAAGCUUCGGCCUUGAAUCCUGUCCUCAGUCAGAACGCUCGCCCUGUUUCGCCCCUUUUC